AAUUUCUGAAUUUUUAAAUAGAAGUCACCUGCUCUCUUGAGCUACGUUUGGUGAAAUUAAGAAUGCUGUCACAAAAAUUUUUAAGAAAGGACUGGAAGUUGGAAAGUAAUGGUUUAUAAAUGUUCUCCAGUCUAUGAUGAGGGAUGAGGCCUCGAGUAACUUGGUCACCUUAGUCAGGAGUGGGUUGAGAUGACUCCCUAAGAAGGAGGAGAAACAACCUUGCAAAUUAAUCCUGCAUUAACACAGUCAUUGGGGGAAAUUUAAUAUAACAUGUAAUCUAUCACUUCAAUGCUUUAUAUUAAAGGAAAAAUGGAGGGGUGCAGUCCAUUCUUAAGCUGGUGGGGAAAGAUGUUUUUGGAUAGAAGAACUUUUCAUAAAUAUCAGAUCACGUUAAGUCUGGUGGAUGCUUUUUUUUCCCUUCAUCAGAAAUGAAAAAGCAGGAACUUCCCUGGUAGUCCUUCU
rnacentral:lncRNA from 1 species